GAUGAACGCUGGCGGCGUGCCUAAUACAUGCAAGUAGAACGCUGAAGGAGGAGCUUGCUUCUCUGGAUGAGUUGCGAACGGGUGAGUAACGCGUAGGUAACCUGCCUGGUAGCGGGGGAUAACUAUUGGAAACGAUAGCUAAUACCGCAUAAGAGCAGUUGUUGCAUGACAGCUGUUUAAAAGGUGCAAUUGCACCACUACCAGAUGGACCUGCGUUGUAUUAGCUAGUUGGUGAGGUAACGGCUCACCAAGGCGACGAUACAUAGCCGACCUGAGAGGGUGAUCGGCCACACUGGGACUGAGACACGGCCCAGACUCCUACGGGAGGCAGCAGUAGGGAAUCUUCGGCAAUGGGGGCAACCCUGACCGAGCAACGCCGCGUGAGUGAAGAAGGUUUUCGGAUCGUAAAGCUCUGUUGUAAGAGAAGAACGAGUGUGAGAGUGGAAAGUUCACGCUGUGACGGUAUCUUACCAGAAAGGGACGGCUAACUACGUGCCAGCAGCCGCGGUAAUA
rnacentral:rRNA from 1 species